rnacentral:rRNA from 1 species
UUAGAGAGUGACCCUGGCUCAGGAUGAACGCUAGCGAUAGGCUUAACACAUGCAAGUCGAGGGGCAGCACUGGCAGCAAUGCUUGGUGGCGACCGGCGCACGGGUGCGUAACACGUAUGCAACCUGCCUGUAAGUGUGGGAUAGCCUCCUGAAAGGGAGAUUAAUACUGCAUAACAUGUUUUUACUGCAUGGUAUUUACAUCAAACAUUUAUGGCUUACGGAUGGGCAUGCGUUCCAUUAGGCAGUUGGUGUGGUAAUGGCUCACCAAACCUACGAUGGAUAGGGGUUCUGAGAGGAAGGUCCCCCACACUGGAACUGAGACACGGUCCAGACUCCUACGGGAGGCAGCAGUGAGGAAUAUUGGUCAAUGGUCGCAAGACUGAACCAGCCAAGUCGCGUGAAGGACGACGGCCCUAUGGGUUGUAAACUUCUUUUACAGGGGAAUAAAGUGCGCCACGUGUGGUGUUUUGUAUGUACUUUGUGAAUAAGGAUCGGCUAACUCCGUGCCAGCAGCCGCAGUAAUACGGAGGAUCCGAGCGUUAUCCGGAUUUAUUGGGUUUAAAGGGUGCGUAGGCGGCAUGAUAAUUCAGCGGUGAAAGUUUUCGGCUCAACCGGAAAAUUGCCGUUGAAACUGUUGUUCUUGAGAGCAAAAGAAGUAAGGCGAAAUUCGUUGUGUAGCGGUGAAAUGCGUAGAUAUAACAAAUAACUCCGAUUGCGUAGGCAGCUUACCAUGUUGCAGCUGACGCUGAGGCACGAAAGUGUGGGUAUCAAACAGGAUUAGAUACCCUGGUAGUCCACACAGUAAACGAUGAAUACUAGCUGUUUGCGAUACACUGCAAGCGGCUGAGCGAAAGCAUUAAGUAUUCCACCUGGGGAGUACGUUCGCAAGAAUGAAACUCAAAGGAAUUGACGGGACCCUGCACAAGCGGUGGAUCAUGUUGUUUAAUUCGAGGAUACGCGAAGAACCUUACCAGGCCUUGACAUCCUCUGCGAAGCUAUGGAGACAUAGUGGAGGUUAACAGAGAGACAGGUGGUGCAUGGUUGUCGUCAGCUCGUGUCGUGAGAUGUUCGGUUAAGUCCGGUAACGAGCGCAACCCUUAUUGCUAGUUGCCAUCAUUAAGUUGGGGACUCUAGCGAGACUGCCAGUGACAAACUGGAGGAAGGCGGGGAGGACGUCAAAUCAUCAUGCCCCCUAUGGCCUGGGCUACAAACGUGAUACAAUGGCUGGAACAAAGAGAAGCGAAAGGGCGACCCUUAGCGGACCUCAUAAAAACAGUCUCAGUUCGGAUUGGAGUCUGCAACUCGACUCCACGAAGUCGGAAUCGCUAGUAAUCGUAGGUCAGCAUACUACGGUGAAUAAGUUCUCGGGGUUUGUACUCACCGCCCGUCA